rnacentral:rRNA from 1 species
CCUACGGGAGGCAGCAGUUAGGAAUCUUGCGCAAUGGGCGAAAGCCUGACGCAGCGACGCCGCGUGCGGGAUGACGGCCUUCGGGUUGUAAACCGCUUUCAGCAGGGACGAUUAUGACGGUACCUGCAGAAGAAGCCCCGGCCAACUACGUGCCAGCAGCCGCGGUAAUACGUAGGGGGCAAGCGUUGUCCGGAUUUAUUGGGCGUAAAGAGCUCGUAGGCGGUUUGGUAAGUCGGGUGUGAAAUCUCCACGCUCAACGUGGAGGGGCCACUCGAUACUGCCAUGACUCGAGUCCGGUAGAGGAGUGUGGAAUUCCCGGUGUAGCGGUGAAAUGCGCAGAUAUCGGGAGGAACACCCGUAGCGAAGGCGGCACUCUGGGCCGGAACUGACGCUGAGGAGCGAAAGCGUGGGGAGCAAACAGGAUUAGAUACCCUGGUAGUCCACGCCGUAAACGUUGGGCACUAGGUGUGGGGAUCUAUCGACGGUUUCCGUGCCGAAGCUAACGCAUUAAGUGCCCCGCCUGGGGAGUACGGCCGCAAGGCUAAAACGUCAAAGGAAUUGACGG